rnacentral:rRNA from 1 species
GUAGGUGGCAAGCGUUGUCCGGAAUUAUUGGGCCUAAAGCGCGCGCAGGCGGUUCUUUAAGUCUGAUGUGAAAGCCCACGGGCUCAACCGUGGAGGGUCAUUGGAAACUGGAGAACUUGAGUACAGAAGAGGAAAGCGGAAUUCCACGUGUAGCGGUGAAAUGCGUAGAGAUGUGGAGGAACACCAGUGGCGAAGGCGGCUUUCUGGUCUGUAACUGACGCUGAGGCGCGAAAGCGUGGGGAGCAAACAGGAUUAGAUACCCUGGUAGUCCACGCCGUAAACGAUGAGUGCUAAGUGUUAGGGGGUUUCCGCCCCUUAGUGCUGCAGCUAACGCAUUAAGCACUCCGCCUGGGGAGUACGGCCGCAAGGCUG